rnacentral:lncRNA from 1 species
CCUCCAGGCACGGGGAUGACUCUUCCUACAGGUGUUUCAGAUUUUCUCCUUGAAUGUUUGGAUGCAGAUUCUUCUGCAGAUCGUGACACAGUUGCUACUGACACCACAGAAAGUUUUCCAUCCCCUGAAACGUUAAGAGAUGAGGAACAUUCAGGGACAAGUCAUCCUGACUUCGAGGACUUUGUGAAAUGCAAGAACUCCACUCUUCUGGACUGCAGCAAAGCAAUGGCCAUAGAUAAGAUACUACAGAUCUCAAAUCUUUCACCAAUAUUAGAACCUGUAUUGGAAGAUUGUAAAGACCAACACAUAAAAAGGUAAUCUGCAAAGCAGGCCGAUGCAUC